rnacentral:rRNA from 1 species
AUUGAACGCUGGCGGCAGGCCUAACACAUGCAAGUCGAGCGAGCGGCGGACGGGUGAGUAAUGUAUGGGGACUGCCCGAAAGAGAGGGAUAAAUACUGGAAACGGUGGCUAAUACCGCAUACUAGCGGAUAACCAAUAUGGGAUUAACUAGUAGGUGGGGUAAAGGCUGACCUAGGCGACGAUCUCUAGCUGGUCUGAGAGGAUGAUCAGCCACACUGGGACUGAGACACGGCCCAGAUGCCUACGGAGGCCGCAGUGGGGAAUAUUGCACAAUGGGUGCAAGCCUGAUGCAGCCAUGCCGCGUGUAUGAAGAAGGCCUUAGGGUUGUAAAGUACUUUCAGCGGGGAGGCGUUACCCGCAGAAGAAGCACCGGCUAACUCCGUGCCAGCAGCCGCGGUAAUAC